rnacentral:snoRNA from 1 species
UUGCAGCCAGUUAAGCCGACUGUGCUCUUUUCCCCAUGGGGGCCCACUGCGCAAUGACUGCAAACAGCCUCCUCGGUAGUGUAUGCAGCCUGUUGCCUGUAUGGGUUGCCCUAAGGGACCUUGGAGACAGCC